UCAAAUUACGCUGAAAACACCGGUUCUCGUUCGAUUACGGAAAUUAAGCAGUGUCGGUCCCGGUCAGUACUUAGAUGGGGGGGGGCGCUUGGGAACACAGGGCACUGUAA